UUGUCCCUCGAGCGCCCACCUGCGGGGCCCGCCUGUCCAAUACUCCAAUCCACGGAGUUCGUCCCUUCCCCCCGAGUUGUGGAUGGGCUUGCCGUCGUAGACUCGGCGGUCACCGGUCAUCGUGGCGACGGCGGACCUCGUCAAGCUGGCGCUCGAUACUCGAUAGUUCCGGUUUCUUGCCUUCGUGGUAAACCCAACAUAUUUUAG
rnacentral:misc_RNA from 1 species